UACAGCCAAGUUGCAUGUCCAGUACAAGGGCUGGUCAGGAAUGUGGACUUUUGCAUUCUAUGACAAUUAUCCCAUCCCCAUGCUGCUGGGGGAAGACUUGGCCAACCAUGUGAAGCUAGCCAAGAGGGUGGGAAUAGUCACCCGCAGCCAGGCUAAACAAGCUUGCACCCCCAUCCCUGUUCCUGAGCCAUCCACCAGGGCCCCAUCUGUGUUACCAGAGACCCAAACAAAGGUGGUGGAACCGGAUCCCCUGCCAACAACUGCAACAGCCGUAGUGGAUCCAAUCCCAGAGACCCAGCCAAAGCCAGUCCCAGAACCAGAACUGGCAACACAACCAGCGCCAGAACCAUUGCCAGCACUGAGUCCAGCGCUUGCAAACCCGUCUACAACUCCAACGCCAGAGGGCACCAGCGAGCCUGACCUGGCGGAAGCAGCAGAUAACCCUACCCAAGAGGCUCAGCCAGAGCCUGAGAUACCACAUAGUGCACCAGUGGACAGCGGUUCACAGUCAAUGGAAACAGCCCCAGCACCUGCAUCGCUUCCAGAGGGACCAAGCCCAAGUCCACAGUCCAAGGAGGAACUGAUGUCUCCAGCAUCAAGGGAACAGUUCCAGGCCGAGCAGGAAGCAGAUGACAGCCUUCAGAAAGCUUGGGCGGCGGCGCGGAGCACGCCAUCGCCUCUCAGCUCUUCUAACCAAUCCCGGUUUGUUGUAGAACAAGGACUUUUAUACAAGGAGACUCUUUCUGGUGGGCACCAGGAAGACUGGCAUCCUCAAAGACAGUUGGUAGUUCCCACUAAGUAUCGGGUAAAGCUCUUGAGUUUAGCCCAUGAUCAUCCCAGUGGCCAUUCUGGGGUGAACAGAACCAAAGACCGGUUGGAGAAGUCCUUCCACUGGGAGAGAAUGGGCAAGGAUGUUGCUAAUUAUGUCCGGUCUUGUGAGGUGUGCCAACGAGUGGGAAACCCCCAAGACCAGGUUAAAGCCCCUCUCCAGCCACUACCCAUAAUUGAGGUCCCAUUUCAGCAGGUAGCUGUGGAUAUUCUGGGUCCUUUCCCAAAGAAGACCCCCAGAGGAAAGGGGUACAUACUGACUUUCAUGGAUUUUGCUACCCGAUGGCCGGAAGCAGUA
ensembl:lncRNA